rnacentral:rRNA from 1 species
GACGAACGCUGGCGGCGUGCUUAACACAUGCAAGUCGAACGGAAAGGCCCUGCUUUUGUGGGGUGCUCGAGUGGCGAACGGGUGAGUAACACGUGAGUAACCUGCCCUUGACUUUGGGAUAACUUCAGGAAACUGGGGCUAAUACCGGAUAGGAGCUCCUGCUGCAUGGUGGGGGUUGGAAAGUUUCGGCGGUUGGGGAUGGACUCGCGGCUUAUCAGCUUGUUUGUGGGGUAGUGGCUUACCAAGGCUUUGACGGGUAGCCGGCCUGAGAGGGUGACCGGGCACAGUGGGACUGAGAUACGGACCAGACGCCUACGGGAGGCAGCAGUGGGGAGUAUUGCACAAUGGGCGGAAGCCUGAUGCAGCAACGCCGCGUGCGGGAUGACGGCCUUCGGGUUGUAAACCGAUGUGGCCUGAGACGAAGCGUGAGUGACGGUAAUGGGUAAAGAAGCACCGGCUAACUACGUG